UUGCUUUAAGUUUUCUGUCUUGAUGCUUUAAUAUUUUCCUUGAUCUACCAGUAUGCUUGCCUUUUACAAUCUUCCAAUGUUGGUUGUACUUGGUCCACAUUUUAGACACAGCUUACUGUGAACAACCAACAUCUUUUGCAACAUUCUGUGAUGAUUUAUCUUCUUUAAGAAAUCUGACAAUCCUCUCAUUUGUUUUAACUGCGGAUGUUAGUUUUGGAAAUGGAAAUUUACAGGGUGAUUCCAUAAUUUUUUCCUCAGAAUUGAGUGAUUCCAUAAUUUUUGCCCUCUGCUUGAUCUCAAAAAGCAAUUGUUAUUGACAAUUCUUUUUCUUCAUUUCCUUUAAUGUUUCUUAAAGCCAAAAAGUUGCAAUUUUAAAUGACUUCAGUUUUGUGGCAUGUCUGUGAUCUGCUUUUUUCUACAAAAUUAAACAACUGAUGGAACAUCCUCCAAGACUGGUGAUUCCAUAAUUUUUGCCAGGGGUUGUGGAACAUGGGCUCUUAGAAGAAUGCAACUGGACUUAAGACUUACUUGGGAACUACAACAGUGUGUGAAUAUUUUCAUGAUGAUUUUGAGCUUUGACUCUUAGUGUUUUUACUUUGGCACACUUUUGCAAUGCAAACCUGCCAAAGUUUACAGGAACGCAGAGACUUCUUGUCUCUGCCAUCUUGAACCAAUGCAUCCAGCAGAUCAUCACAGCUCCACAUCCUGUAGCGACCUCCCUCUCACUACGACAAAGGCUAUGCAAGUGUCAUUUUCCUUCUGCUAAACAGGUCGGCCCAGGGUAACAACAGCAGUUGAUGACAGAAACAUUGUGAGAGCUGUGAAGAAAAACCCAAAAACAACAGUCACUGACAUCACUGCCAACCUCCACAGGGCAGGGGAGAAAGUGUCACAAUCCACUGUUCGAAGAAGACUUCGAGAGAAGGAAUAUAGAGGCCAUACCACAAGAUGCAAACAACUCACCAGCAAAAAGCAUCGGAAGGCCAGAUUGGAUUUUGCAAAGAAGUACAGAGAUCAGCCACAAAAGUUUUGAAACAAAGUUUUAAUGGACUGAUGAGACCAAGAUUAACCUCUAUGAUGAAAAGGCCAAAGUAUGGAGAAAGAAAGGAUCUGCUUAUGAUCCAAAACAUACAAGCUCAUCUGUGAAACAUGGUGGAGGUAGUGUCAUGGUUUGGGCUUGCAUGGCUGCUUCUGGAACGGGCUCACUAGUCUUUAUUGAUGAUGUAGCUCAUGGUGGUAGCAGCAGAAUGAAUUCUGAUGUCUACAAAACCAUUUUGUCUGGCAAUUUACAGAAAAAUGCAUCCAAACUAAUGGGGAGAUGCUUCAUCAUGCAACAAGACAAUGACCCAAAGCACACUGCCAACACAACAAAGGACUUCAUCAGUGGAAAAAAGUGGAAGGUCUUGGACUGGCCAAGUCAAUCACUGGACCUUAACCCAAUAGAACAUGCAUUUUACCUCUUCAAGAGGAGACAAAGGAUAAACCCCCAGAAACAAAAAAGACCUGAAAGAGGCUGCAGUAAAGGCCUGGAACAGCAUUUGUCAUGAAGAAUGCAACAGCCUGGUGAAGUCAAUGGGUCGCAGGCUCGAUGCAGUUAUUGCAAGAAAGGGUUAUGCCCAGGGACGGCUGGUAUAAAUGGGGUAACAGGGCUAAGCCCUACCAGGCCAACACAAAAAAAGAUGAGAAAAUUAUUUUUCAAAUAACUUACAACAGAUUGUUCUCAGUUUAGGUGAAAACAAAGGUAGCAACAGCACCAAUCAGUCAAAAGAAAAACAUAGAAUAUCUCUUUUUUGUGUGUGGGCCGGUGGGGCGCCAUGGGGGUCUGCGAUGGCCCGUUCUGCUGUGCAGGCCUUCGGGCUCUAGCUGUGUCGGGGGGGGGGUCGCUCCAGGUUCCUGGACUGGCUCUCUGUUCGGUAGCUCCUGCAGGGGGGCGGUGUGGGCAUCCUUGGGCUGGAGGAGACAGUUCCCUCCUUUUGGUGGAGGUUUUCAUGCAUGCCAGACACACCACACCGGCAUCUACCAAAACUCAAUAGAGUUUGUUCCUCCGGUCGCUGAGUCAGUGGAGGCUGCUGGGUUAGUGUCUGUGGAUCUCACUCUGCUUCAUCUAUCCUUCCUGCGGCCUCCUGACAUCUUCAUGAUUGAGCCUGUUGGGAUUCUGUCGUAUCUGGUGUUUGUGAAGGGUCUUAGAUUUGUAACUGGUUUGAAGGUGUGAAUUAAAGAGCACAAAUAAAUAGAAUGUACAUUUUUUCUCAGAA